rnacentral:rRNA from 1 species
UACAGAGGUCCCAAGCGUUGUUCGGAUUCACUGGGCGUAAAGGGUGCGCAGGUGGGUUGGCAAGUUUGACGUGAAAGCCCCGGGCUUAACCCGGGAAUGGCAUUGAAUACUGCUGAUCUGGAGGAUUGGAGGGGGGACUGGAAUUCUUGGUGUAGCAGUGAAAUGCGUAGAUAUCAAGUGGAACACCAGUGGCGAAGGCGAGUCCCUGGACAACUCCUGACACUGAGGCACGAAAGCUAGGGGAGCAAACAGG